rnacentral:rRNA from 1 species
AUUGAACGCUGGCGGCAGGCCUAACACAUGCAAGUCGAGCGGAUGAAGGGAGCUUGCUCCUGGAUUCAGCGGCGGACGGGAGAGUAAUGCCUAGGAAUCUGCCUGGUAGUGGGGGAUAACGUCCGGAAACGGGCGCUAAUACCGCAUACGUCCUGAGGGAGAAAGGGGGGGGUCUUCGGACCUCACGCGAUCAGAUGAGCCUAGGUCGGAUUAGCUAGUGGGGGGGGUAAGGGGCUACCAAGGCGGCGAUCCGUAACUGGUCUGAGAGGCUGAUCAGUCACCCUGGAACUGGGACACGGUCCCGACUCCUACGGGAGGGCCCAGAGGGGAAUAUUGGACAGUGGGCGAAAACCUGAUCCAGCCGUGCCGCGUGUGUGCAGAAGGUCUUCGGAUUGUAAAGCCCUUUAAGUUGGGAGGAAGGGCAGUAAGUUAAUACCUUGCUGUUUUGACGUUACCAACAGAAUAAGCACCGGCUAACUUCGUG